rnacentral:lncRNA from 1 species
UAGAAUGGUAAAUGCUAAGUGAAGUUUGUUUAAAAUUCAGAAGCAGGGUAACUUUCCCAAUGAAUGUUGAGCAACCCCAAAAUGACCCCCACUUUCUUUGUGAAGUCUAAGUUGUUAAAACCUUAUAUGUGAACACAAUCACCAUCAAGUCAAGCCCAAGUAUUAAAUUGCAACACACCUUACUUUACGAAGAAAGAAAAAUUCAAAAUCUUUUCUAGGUGAAUGUGGUCGAAAUGCAAUCUAUACUUUUGCAAUAAUCCAUGAAAUGCAACCUGCAUGUAAAAGCAUGAAUGUUGAACUUUUGCAUAUGCAUCUUGUGUAGAAGCGAAUCUCGCCGACGGAACCUACAAACUACUCCCAGCAGCUGAGGAGGAGCCUUCUG